AUACGGAGGGUGCAAGCGUUACUCGGGAUCACUGGGCGUAAAGCGCGCGCAGGCGGCUAUUUAAGUUGGAUGUGAAAGCCUACGGCUCAACCGUAGAACUGCAUCCAAAACUAUUUAGCUAGAGUGUGGGAGAGGAAGAUGGAAUUAGUUGUGUAGGGGUAAAAUCCGUAGAGAUAACUAGGAAUACCAAAAGCGAAGGCAAUCUUCUGGAACACUACUGACGCUGAGGCGCGAAAGCGUGGGGAGCAAACGGGAUUAGAAACCCCUGUAGUCC
rnacentral:rRNA from 1 species